rnacentral:rRNA from 1 species
UACAGAGGUCUCAAGCGUUGUUCGGAUUCAUUGGGCGUAAAGGGUGCGUAGGCGGCGCGGUAAGUCGGGUGUGAAAUCUUGGAGCUUAACUCCGAAACUGCAUUCGAUACUGCCGUGCUUGAGGACUGGAGAGGAGACUGGAAUUUACGGUGUAGCGGUGAAAUGCGUAGAUAUCGUAAGGAAGACCAGUGGCGAAGGCGGGGCUCUGGACAGUAACUGACGCUGAGGCACGAAGGCCAGGGGAGCAAACGGG